GAUGAACGCUGGCGGCGUGCCUAAUACAUGCAAGUCGAGCGAACGGACGAGAAGCUUGCUUCUCUGAUGUUAGCGGCGGACGGGUGAGUAACACGUGGAUAACCUACCUAUAAGACUGGGAUAACUUCGGGAAACCGGAGCUAAUACCGGAUAAUAUUUUGAACCGCAUGGUUCAAAAGUGAAAGACGGUCUUGCCGUCACUUAUAGAUGGAUCCGCGCUGCAUUAGCUAGUUGGUAAGGUAACGGCUUACCAAGGCAACGAUGCCUAGCCGACCUGAGAGGGUGAUCGGCCACACUGGAACUGAGACACGGUCCAGACUCCUACGGGAGGCAGCAGUAGGGAAUCUUCCGCAAUGGGCGAAAGCCUGACGGAGCAACGCCGCGUGAGUGAUGAAGGUCUUCGGAUCGUAAAACUCUGUUAUUAGGGAAGAACAUAUGUGUAAGUAACUGUGCACAUCUUGACGGUACCUAAUCAGAAAGCCACGGCUAACUACGUG
rnacentral:rRNA from 1 species